rnacentral:rRNA from 1 species
AUUGAACGCUGGCGGCAUGCUUUACACAUGCAAGUCGAACGGCAGCGCGGGCUUCGGCCUGGCGGCGAGUGGCGAACGGGUGAGUAAUGCAUCGGAACGUGCCCAGCAGUGGGGGAUAGCCCGGCGAAAGCCGGAUUAAUACCGCAUACGACCUGAGGGUGAAAGCGGGGGACCGAAAGGCCUCGCGCUAUUGGAGCGGCCGAUGUCGGAUUAGCUAGUUGGUGGGGUAAAGGCUUACCAAGGCGACGAUCCGUAGCUGGUCUGAGAGGACGACCAGCCACACUAGGACUGAGACACGGCCCAGACUCCUACGGGAGGCAGCAGUGGGGAAUUUUGGACAAUGGGGGCAACCCUGAUCCAGCCAUGCCGCGUGCGGGAAGAAGGCCUUCGGGUUGUAAACCGCUUUUGUUCGGGAAGAAAUCCUCUGGGCUAAUACCCCGGGGGGAUGACGGUACCGGAAGAAUAAGCACCGGCUAACUACGUG